rnacentral:rRNA from 1 species
UACGUAGGGUGCGAGCGUUGUCCGGAAUUAUUGGGCGUAAAGAGCUUGUAGGCGGUCUGUCGCGUCUGCUGUGAAAAUCCGGGGCUCAACCCCAGACUUGCAGUGGAUACGGGCAGACUAGAGUGUGGUAGGGGAGACUGGAAUUCCUGGUGUAGCGGUGAAAUGCGCAGAUAUCAGGAAGAACACCCGUGGCGAAGGCGGCUCUCUGGAACGCAACUGACACUGAGACGCGAAAGCGUGGGGAGCAAACAGG